UGAAGGCCCUGUUCCCCGGAUAACUUGCUGUGCAGGAGGAGCACCUCUCCCUCCCUGGCUCACUUUCCUUUCUCUCUCCUCAGCUCUCCGCAUUUGUUUUUCACAUUCUCCAAAGUAUUAUACUUUCUUCCUUUUUCAUACACCUUUGAUAUUUCUAUUUCAUCUCGGCCCUGAUACAUCCAGGUUUUUAGCUAAAAGUUUCUGUGUGCAUGUGUGUGUUUUAUUUCAUCAAGCAGAAUUUAGUCUAUGGUUUGUGUAUUUCAGAAGCUCUGUGUUUCAGCUUCUCUUCCCCUGGUACACUGAGCUCCUGCCCCAAGCUCAGGCCGCCUGUGCAUGACAGGUAUGAGGCCAGCAUUCUGUGAUUCACCUGGAAAACACAAGUCCCCACUUCUUCCUCAUUUCUGUGCCUCUCUGGAGGGAACCCUGGCAGCCCUUGCCUCAGUUUCUGGGACAAUCCAGGCAGCUCUCCAUCACUGGAGAACACCAGAUGGAAUGGAUGGAGGCAAUUUUUCAGAAAGUACUUUAAGAGCGGCUUCCUCAGUGGUCUUUCCAGCUGGAAGCAGAGCGUCCAGAAAGCACCGCAUUCUCAGCGCUGUUUCAUUGCCUCAAGAGCUACAGAUGGCUUCCCCAAGCACCUGAAGUCGAUGCUGCUUGCCUGGAUGGAAUAAGCUGCAAGCUGCAGAAACUCUUGUCUUUUCACAGUGGAACUCAGACUCCAGUUUCUUUCUGCCUUGAGAGUGAAAGAAAGGAGAAGACACAGAGUAGGAAAGAGCCAGAAGGUGGAGAAAUUAAUGUUUAAUGCUUGAUACUCCCGGGGCCUGGCCAGCUGCUCAAAAAAAGGAAGGAGGUGAUGAAGAGAGAAAGAAAGGAUGGAAGGAAGGAGGAAGUGGACAAUGAGAUCCUGGCUGAUGGAUGUAAUGAAGGCAUGAACUAUACUAGUUGAACAAGGAAAUGAACUUGAACCAAAUUGUGAAGUUCUCUGCAGUGAAAUAUUAAAGAUUAGCAAGCUAAACAGAGAAAAAGAUAACACUCAAGAAACUGCCUAUAUGUAAGAGAUUCCUUUGAGAACUUUCAAAUGGCUCCUUUCUACAAAAGACCUGAGAAUACUUAACCCCCCACCACUAGCACACUCAAAGCUCAAGGCAAAUGCAUUUUCAAGAUUGACAGGGUCUUGGACUCUGAAAGUCUUUGGACCCAAGAAAAAUCGUGUUAUCUAAGAGAGCAGUUAUUCUGACACAGACUGAUAUCAGGUGCCUGUGGCAUGAAACACGGAAGAGAAUAAUAGCAUCUACCUUAUAAGAAGACAUACUAUAUUCUGGACCACAUAUCUGAUAAUUCUUACAGCCCUUUAAAGAUAAUCAUAACUAGAAUAUUAUCUUAUUUUGUAGCUCAUAGAUGUCAAAAGACUAGCUCAUAAUUUUAUUGCGGAUACAUAGCAGAACCAAGAUUUGAACUCAGACCUGUCUCAUUCCACAACUCAUUUUCCUUGAAGUCAAUAGAUGCCACUGAUCUCUAAAUACCUACAAAAGGGGCUCGGAGGUGGAGAGGGGAUGUCUGAGGAGCCUUAGGACUACCACCCAAUGUUCUGUCUUUAGAUAGAGAUGCUAUCACCAAUCUCUCUUUCACACAUACUCCUCCUCUUCUCAUUUCUGUUCGUGUACUUGGUUCUCAGUGUAAGAUUUUGUUAGAAGAAAGAGGCAUGUUGGUAAAAUAAGAAAUAAUAUAUCAAAAAUAAAAUAAAAUUGUUUGAAAGUCU
rnacentral:lncRNA from 1 species